GAUAAAUCAUAAAACAAUAGAUUUUAGAUAUCGUUCGUUUUAUUGAAGGAUUUUUGUAUCUUUAACAACUUGAUACCUUGUGCAAAGGAUCAGUGUAACUAGUUUUUGUUAUAAUUAAUUUCCUUCUAAAGUAAAUUAAAGAUUUCCUGUGAAAAUGAAAGCAGAAAAGAAGAUUAAAAAAAAGAUACACAUCCUUGUUUCAGCUGUUAAGAAAUCCAAGGAGCAGAUGAAAAAUGAUGGAACGGAUAUCGCUAAGAUUACCGGUCUUGUUACGGUGAUUGUAGUGGUUACUUAUGCUGUUUUUUAAAAGAAUUAGGCUAAGUUUAUCGUGUCGAAAUUAAAAUAUAAAACUAUAUUCUGAUGUGAA